AGGGCGCACGGUGGAUGCCUUGGCACUAGAAGCCGAUGAAGGACGUUACUAACGACGAUAUGCUUUGGGGAGCUGUAAGUAAGCUUUGAUCCAGAGAUUUCCGAAUGGGGAAACCCAGCAUGAGUUAUGUCAUGUUAUCGAUAUGUGAAUACAUAGCAUAUCAGAAGGCACACCCGGAGAACUGAAACAUCUUAGUAACCGGAGGAAGAGAAAGAAAAUUCGAUUCCCUUAGUAGCGGCGAGCGAAACGGGAAGAGCCCAAACCAACAAGCUUGCUUGUUGGGGUUGUAGGACACUCUAUACGGAGUUACAAAGGACGACAUUAGACGAAUCAUCUGGAAAGAUGAAUCAAAGAAGGUAAUAAUCCUGUAGUCGAAAAUGUUGUCUCUCUUGAGUGGAUCCUGAGUACGACGGAGCACGUGAAAUUCCGUCGGAAUCUGGGAGGACCAUCUCCUAAGGCUAAAUACUCUCUAGUGACCGAUAGUGAACCAGUACCGUGAGGGAAAGGUGAAAAGCACCCCGGAAGGGGAGUGAAAUAGAACCUGAAACCGUGUGCUUACAAGUAGUCAGAGCCCGUUAAUGGGUGAUGGCGUGCCUUUUGUAGAAUGAACCGGCGAGUUACGAUUUGAUGCAAGGUUAAGCAGUAAAUGUGGAGCCGUAGCGAAAGCGAGUCUGAAUAGGGCGUUUAGUAUUUGGUCGUAGACCCGAAACCAGGUGAUCUACCCUUGGUCAGGUUGAAGUUCAGGUAACACUGAAUGGAGGACCGAACCGACUUACGUUGAAAAGUGAGCGGAUGAACUGAGGGUAGCGGAGAAAUUCCAAUCGAACCUGGAGAUAGCUGGUUCUCUCCGAAAUAGCUUUAGGGCUAGCCUCAAGUGAUGAUUAUUGGAGGUAGAGCACUGUUUGGACGAGGGGCCCCUCUCGGGUUACCGAAUUCAGACAAACUCCGAAUGCCAAUUAAUUUAACUUGGGAGUCAGAACAUGGGUGAUAAGGUCCGUGUUCGAAAGGGAAACAGCCCAGACCACCAGCUAAGGUCCCAAAAUAUAUGUUAAGUGGAAAAGGAUGUGGCGUUGCCCAGACAACUAGGAUGUUGGCUUAGAAGCAGCCAUCAUUUAAAGAGUGCGUAAUAGCUCACUAGUCGAGUGACACUGCGCCGAAAAUGUACCGGGGCUAAACAUAUUACCGAAGCUGUGGAUUGUCCUUUGGACAAUGGUAGGAGAGCGUUCUAAGGGCGUUGAAGCAUGAUCGUAAGGACAUGUGGAGCGCUUAGAAGUGAGAAUGCCGGUGUGAGUAGCGAAAGACGGGUGAGAAUCCCGUCCACCGAUUGACUAAGGUUUCCAGAGGAAGGCUCGUCCGCUCUGGGUUAGUCGGGUCCUAAGCUGAGGCCGACAGGCGUAGGCGAUGGAUAACAGGUUGAUAUUCCUGUACCACCUAUAAUCGUUUUAAUCGAUGGGGGGACGCAGUAGGAUAGGCGAAGCGUGCGAUUGGAUUGCACGUCUAAGCAGUAAGGCUGAGUAUUAGGCAAAUCCGGUACUCGUUAAGGCUGAGCUGUGAUGGGGAGAAGACAUUGUGUCUUCGAGUCGUUGAUUUCACACUGCCGAGAAAAGCCUCUAGAUAGAAAAUAGGUGCCCGUACCGCAAACCGACACAGGUAGUCAAGAUGAGAAUUCUAAGGUGAGCGAGCGAACUCUCGUUAAGGAACUCGGCAAAAUGACCCCGUAACUUCGGGAGAAGGGGUGCUCUUUAGGGUUAACGCCCAGAAGAGCCGCAGUGAAUAGGCCCAAGCGACUGUUUAUCAAAAACACAGGUCUCUGCUAAACCGUAAGGUGAUGUAUAGGGGCUGACGCCUGCCCGGUGCUGGAAGGUUAAGAGGAGUGGUUAGCUUCUGCGAAGCUACGAAUCGAAGCCCCAGUAAACGGCGGCCGUAACUAUAACGGUCCUAAGGUAGCGAAAUUCCUUGUCGGGUAAGUUCCGACCCGCACGAAAGGCGUAACGAUUUGGGCACUGUCUCAACGAGAGACUCGGUGAAAUCAUAGUACCUGUGAAGAUGCAGGUUACCCGCGACAGGACGGAAAGACCCCGUGGAGCUUUACUGUAGCCUGAUAUUGAAAUUCGGCACAGCUUGUACAGGAUAGGUAGGAGCCUUUGAAACGUGAGCGCUAGCUUACGUGGAGGCGCUGGUGGGAUACUACCCUAGCUGUGUUGGCUUUCUAACCCGCACCACUUAUCGUGGUGGGAGACAGUGUCAGGCGGGCAGUUUGACUGGGGCGGUCGCCUCCUAAAAGGUAACGGAGGCGCUCAAAGGUUCCCUCAGAAUGGUUGGAAAUCAUUCAUAGAGUGUAAAGGCAUAAGGGAGCUUGACUGCGAGACCUACAAGUCGAGCAGGGUCGAAAGACGGACUUAGUGAUCCGGUGGUUCCGCAUGGAAGGGCCAUCGCUCAACGGAUAAAAGCUACCCCGGGGAUAACAGGCUUAUCUCCCCCAAGAGUUCACAUCGACGGGGAGGUUUGGCACCUCGAUGUCGGCUCAUCGCAUCCUGGGGCUGUAGUCGGUCCCAAGGGUUGGGCUGUUCGCCCAUUAAAGCGGUACGCGAGCUGGGUUCAGAACGUCGUGAGACAGUUCGGUCCCUAUCCGUCGUGGGCGUAGGAAAUUUGAGAGGAGCUGUCCUUAGUACGAGAGGACCGGGAUGGACAUACCUCUGGUGUACCAGUUGUCGUGCCAACGGCAUAGCUGGGUAGCUAUGUGUGGACGGGAUAAGUGCUGAAAGCAUCUAAGCAUGAAGCCCCCCUCAAGAUGAGAUUUCCCAACUUCGGUUAU
rnacentral:rRNA from 1 species